UGGGGAAUUUUGGACAAUGGGCGAAAGCCUGAUCCAGCAAUGCCGCGUGUGUGAAGAAGGCCUUCGGGUUGUAAAGCACUUUUGUCCGGAAAGAAAUCCUUGGCUCUAAUACAGUCGGGGGAUGACGGUACCGGAAGAAUAAGCACCGGCUAACUACGUGCCAGCAGCCGCGGUAAUACGUAGGGUGCAAGCGUUAAUCGGAAUUACUGGGCGUAAAGCGUGCGCAGGCGGUUUGCUAAGACCGAUGUGAAAUCCCCGGGCUCAACCUGGGAACUGCAUUGGUGACUGGCAGGCUAGAGUAUGGCAGAGGGGGGUAGAAUUCCACGUGUAGCAGUGAAAUGCGUAGAGAUGUGGAGGAAUACCGAUGGCGAAGGCAGCCCCUGGGCCAAUACUGACGCUCAUGCACGAAAGCGUGGGGAGCAAACAGGAUUAGAUACCCUGGUAGUCCACGCCCUAAACGAUGUCAACUAGUUGUUGGGGAUUCAUUUCCUUAGUAACGUAGCUAACGCGUGAAGUUGACCGCCU
rnacentral:rRNA from 1 species